rnacentral:rRNA from 1 species
UACGAAGGGGGCUAGCGUUGCUCGGAAUCACUGGGCGUAAAGGGUGCGUAGGCGGGCCUUUAAGUCAGGGGUGAAAUCCUGGAGCUCAACUCCAGAACUGCCUUUGAUACUGAGGAUCUUGAGUUCGGGAGAGGUGAGUGGAACUGCGAGUGUAGAGCUGAAAUUCGUAGAUAUCGGGAGGAACACCAGUGGCGAAGGCGGCUGUCUGGGCCAGUUCUGACGCUGAGGCGCGAAAGCGUGGGGAGCAAACAGG